rnacentral:rRNA from 1 species
AUUGAACGCUGGCGGCAGGCCUAACACAUGCAAGUCGAGCGGAUGAAGGGAGCUUGCUCCUGGAUUCAGCGGCGGACGGGUGAGUAAUGCCUAGGAAUCUGCCUGGUAGCGGGGGAUAACGUCCGGAAACGGGCGCUAAUACCGCAUACGUCCUGAGGGAGAAAGUGGGGGAUCUUCGGACCUCACGCUAUCAGAUGAGCCUAGGUCGGAUUAGCUAGUUGGUGGGGUAAAGGCCUACCAAGGCGACGAUCCGUAACUGGUCUGAGAGGAUGAUCAGUCACACUGGAACUGGGACACGGUCCAGACUCCUACGGGAGGCAGCAGUGGGGAAUAUUGGACAAUGGGCGAAAGCCUGAUCCAGCCAUGCCGCGUGUGUGAAGAAGGUCUUCGGAUUGUAAAGCACUUUAAGUUGGGAGGAAGGGCAGUAAGUUAAUACCUUGCUGUUUUGACGUUACCAACAGGAUGAGCACCGGCUAACUUCGUG